GACGAACGCUGGCGGCGUGCUUAACACAUGCAAGUCGAACGGAAAGGCCCCCACCAUUUUUGGUGGGGGUGCUCGAGUGGCGAACGGGUGAGUAACACGUGGGUGAUCUGCCCUGUACUUCGGGAUAAGCUUGGGAAACUGGGUCUAAUACCGGAUAGGACCAUGGUUUAGUGUCUCAUGGUGGAAAAAUUAUUGUUUUGGUGCAGGAUGAGCUCGCGGCCUAUCAGCUUGUUGGUGGGGUAAUGGCCUACCAAGGCGUCGACGGGUAGCCGGCCUGAGAGGGUGGACGGCCACAUUGGGACUGAGAUACGGCCCAGACUCCUACGGGAGGCAGCAGUGGGGAAUAUUGCACAAUGGGCGCAAGCCUGAUGCAGCGACGCCGCGUGGGGGAUGACGGCCUUCGGGUUGUAAACUCCUUUCGUUAGGGACGAAGCCACACCUUUUUUGG
rnacentral:rRNA from 1 species